AUACGAAGUCAAGAAGACAGGAGACAUAAAAGGGGCCUACAGUGCUACACAACCCCAGCUCCCUCCUCUGCUCUUCAUAAGACUUGCUUCUAUGCAAGAAAAACAAGGAUACAGGGGAUAUUCAGAGUUCACUGGAAAAGCUUUUCCUUUGGUGCUGCUUAACACAUACCAAGAGCUCUUCCAAAACUGCUGGUUCACAUACCCAGAGUGUCUGACUGAAGCAAUAGGAACCCUUUGCUACAAUUAAGGGAAAACAAGCUGAAACAGAAGAUAUGGAGAAAUAACUUCUGCUCAGCUGAGACACACGCUCAUCCACUUCAUCUGCAGCGGAGGGAUUGGCUUACCCGCCACAAGGGCAAGGAGAAACAGACUGGGUCCAUUUCAUGACAGGGUUUACAUGUCACACGUGAGAUG